UACGUAGGUGGCAAGCGUUGUCCGGAUUUACUGGGCGUAAAGAGCGCGCAGGCGGUCUUUUAAGUCGAAUGUGAAAGCCCCCGGCUCAACUGGGGAGGGUCAUUCGAUACUGAUCGACUUGAAGGCAGGAGAGGGUAGUGGAAUUCCCGGUGUAGUGGUGAAAUUCGUAGAUAUUCGGAGGAACACCAGUGGCGAAGGCGGCUCACUGGUCCGGUACUGACGCUGAGGUGCGAAAGCGUGGGGAGCAAACAGG
rnacentral:rRNA from 1 species